UGGCCCUCGAGUCAAAAAGUUUGCCCACCCCUAUUCUAGACACAGGCAGAGGAGCAGCGGGGCUGACUGUCGGGAAGGGGCAGUGUGAGCAGGAGGUGGGGGCGCUGUCCAGGGGCCUCUGUGAUAUGAUAUGACGUGAUGGUGAUGUAAUGUGGCAUGAUGGCCCUGGUCCCUGGCUCUGGCCUGCAGGCUUAGAGUGAUGUGGUCACCCUGGCAAGAGUGUGGCUCUUGGGCUAGUCCAGGUGAGAGAAAGGGGUGUCUGGCUCAGGCUGUGGCAAUAGUGGUGGCCGAGGUUGGCCCCUCUGAGCAUGAAACAUGGUGGAUACAGGCGGGCGGUGUGUGACGGAGGCAGUGUGCACACAUUGGGGUCUGGCCGGGGCCACGAGGUGGAUUUGCACCUGUUUUAUGCCUUAUCAAAUUAAGUUUGUUCUGAAUGUGGCCUAACAUUCCCCAGAGCUGGUGUCUGGAGCCAGGAGAUUCACAAAAUAAAUCAGUGUUGGAGUUCGUAUUUUAAA